GGUUCGGACACCGGUAGGAUUGAAAGAGCGAUAGCUCUCUCUCGAUUCGGUGGGUGGUGAAGCAUGGCCGUCCUUAGUUGGUGGAGCGAUCCGUUUUGUUGAUCCCGAUAACUAACUAGUGCGUCGAUCAGUGCUUUUUCGGUAACGCGGCGGCGCUGAAGCCGUCGUCGGUAGCUCCACGCGCGACCCGGGCCUCCCUUUGCCGCCACUUUCCUUUGCGUCCGGCACUGCGGCCGCGUUCGGCUGCUGCCUCCUCGCGGGGUUGUUUCGGCGGUGGUGACCGGUCAGCUCGGCAAUUUGAAAAAUAUUUUAACAAGGUGUUACCUCGAUGUAUAAAACAAACGAAGAAAUGAAUUACAAAAAUGAAAUUACAAAGAAAAGAAUUAUGAAACUGUCUCUUAUAUAAUC
rnacentral:rRNA from 1 species